rnacentral:rRNA from 1 species
CCCUUAGAUGUUCUGGGCCGCACACGCGCUACACUGAAGGAGGCAGCGUGUACUCCUGGAUCGAAAGAUUUGGGUAACCCGCGAAUCUCCUUCGUGCUAGGGAUUGAGGUUUGCAAUUAUCCUUCAAGAACGAGGAAUUCCCAGUAAGUGCAAGUCAUAAGCUUGCGCUGACUACGUCCCUGCCCUUUGUACACACCGCCCGUCGCUACUACCGAUUGAAUGAUUUAGUGAGGACUUCGGACUGGGACCGAUGCGGCUUUCGGGCUGCGUCGGUAUUCUGGAAAGAUGUCCAAACUGUAUCAUUUAGAGGAAGUAAAAGUCGUAACA